CUACGGGAGGCACCAGUGGGGAAUAUUGCACAAUGGGCGAAAGCCUGAUGCAGCAACGCCGCGUGAGGGACGACGGCCUUCGGGUUGUAAACCUCUUUUAGCAGGGAAGAAGCGAAAGUGACGGUACCUGCAGAAAAAGCACCGGCUAACUACGUGCCAGCAGCCGCGGUAAUACGUAGGGUGCAAGCGUUGUCCGGGAUUAUUGGGCGUAAAGAGCUCGUAGGCGGUUUGUCGCGUCUGCUGUGAAAAUCCGAGGCUCAACCUCGGACCUGCAGUGGGUACGGGCAAACUAGAGUGCGGUAGGGGGGAUUGGAAUUCCUGGUGUAGCGGUGGAAUGCGCAGAUAUCAGGAGGAACACCAAUGGCGAAGGCAGAUCUCUGGGCCGUAACUGACGCUGAGGAGCGAAAGCGUGGGGAGCGAACAGGAUUAGAUACCCCCGUAGUC
rnacentral:rRNA from 1 species